rnacentral:rRNA from 1 species
AUUGAACGCUGGCGGCAUGCCUUACACAUGCAAGUCGAACGGCAGCACGGGAACAAUCCUGGUGGCGAGUGGCGAACGGGUGAGUAAAGUAUCGGAACGUGCCCAGUCGUGGGGGAUAACGUAGCGAAAGUUACGCUAAUACCGCAUACGAUCUAUGGAUGAAAGCGGGGGAUCGCAAGACCUCGCGCGAUUGGAGCGGCCGAUAUCAGAUUAGGUAGUUGGUGGGGUAAAAGCUCACCAAGCCGACGAUCUGUAGCUGGGCUGAGCGGACGACCAGCCACACUGGGGAUGAGACAGGGCCCAGACUCCUACGGGGGGCAGCAGUGGGGGAUUUUGGACAAUGGGCGCAAGCCUGAUCCAGCCAUGCCGCGUGCAGGAUGAAGGCCUUCGGGUUGUAAACUGCUUUUGUACGGAACGAAAAGGUUUGACUUAAUACGUUGGACUCAUGACGGUACCGUAAGAAUAAGCACCGGCUAACUACGUGCCAGCCGCCGCAGUAA